rnacentral:rRNA from 1 species
AGAGUUUGAUCCUGGCUCAGAAUCAACGCUGGCGGCGUGCCUAACACAUGCAAGUCGAACGAGAAAGUGGAGCAAUCCAUGAGUACAGUGGCGACCGGGUGAGUAACACGUGACCAACCUGCCCUCGAGUGGGGAAUAACCCCGGGAAACCGGGGCUAAUACCGCAUAACAUCGCAAGAUCAAAGCAGCAAUGCGCUUGAGGAGGGGGUCGCGGCUGAUUAGCUAGUUGGUAGGGUAAUGGCCUACCAAGGCGAAGAUCGGUAUCCGGCCUGAGAGGGCGCACGGACACACUGGAACUGAAACACGGUCCAGACUCCUACGGGAGGCAGCAGUGGGGAAUUUUGCGCAAUGGGGGAAACCCUGACGCAGCAACGCCGCGUGGAGGAUGAAGUCCCUUGGGACGUAAACUCCUUUCGACCCGGACGAUACUGACGGUACGGGUGGAAGAAGCACCGGCUAACUCUGUGCCAGCAGCCGCGGUAAUACAGAGGGUGCGAGCGUUGUUCGGAAUUAUUGGGCGUAAAGGGCGCGUAGGCGGCGCGGUAAGUCACCUGUGAAAUCUCCUGGCUCAACUGGGAGCUUGCAGGCGAAACUGCCGUGCUGGAGUGUGGGAGAGGUGCGUGGAAUUCCUGGUGUAGCGGUGAAAUGCGUAGAUAUCAGGAGGAACACCUGUGGCGAAAGCGGCGCACUGGACCACAACUGACGCUGAGGCGCGAAAGCUAGGGGAGCAAACAGGAUUAGAUACCCCGGUAGUCC